rnacentral:rRNA from 1 species
UACAGAGGGGGCAAGCGUUGUUCGGAAUUACUGGGCGUAAAGGGCUCGUAGGCGGCCAACUAAGUCGGAUGUGAAAUCCCCAAGCUUAACCUGGGAACUGCAUCCGAUACUGGAUGGCUUGAAUCCGGGAGAGGGAUGCAGAAUUCCAGGUGUAGCGGUGAAAUGCGUAGAUAUCUGGAGGAAUACCGGUGGCGAAGGCGGCAUCCUGGACCGGCAUUGACGCUGAUGAGCGAAAGCUAGGGGAGCAAACGGG